rnacentral:misc_RNA from 1 species
GAGGCGUUGUUGGAACGCGUCUACGGAAAGUGAGAAAAUGGCGAAUUGUCAGCGGCGCCCAUCACGUUGAUUGUUUUGGCACUUGUCAUGAAACGUCGGGAGAGGAGAGGAGUGUGAUGUGUAGCUGGUGAGCGCGUGUGUAUGUAGCGACGCGGGGAAGAUGGCCAGCAAUAUGUACCGUGUUGGAGAUUAUGUAUAUUUUGAAACUUCCUCCACAUCACCAUAUCAAAUAAGAAGAAUAGAAGAGUUAAAUAAGACGCCCAACGGUAACGUGGAGGCCAAAGUGAUGUGUUUCUACAGACGUCGCGACAUCUCCUCUUCCCUUAUCAUGCUGGCAGACAAGCAUCAGAAAGACGGUCACGGGAAUUUGGACCUGUGCCGGGGGUUUAAGAAGCUGUUAAAGGGUCAAGAGAUACAGGGCCCGUGCCUGAAUGAGACUGUCAUACAAGAGGCAACUCAACAAGGUGCCUUAGACGAGGACGAGAGCGACAGCGAAGGGGCCGAGUUGGGAGGGUCGACCAUUGUGACGCCCAGUGGCGAGACCCUCUCCUCUAAUGAGAGACACCAGUUACGGCAUCGUGAACUCUUCCUUUCCCGCCAGAUAGAAACUCUUCCUGCCACGCACAUACGCGGAAAAUGUACGGUCACGUUACUCAACGAGACGGAGUUAUUAUUGGCCUAUCUCAAUAAAGACGAUACAUUCUUCUACUCCUUGGUAUAUGAUCCACAGCAGAAAACAUUAUUAGCAGAUAAGGGGGAAAUUAGGGUCGGUUCAAGAUAUCAAGCAGACAUUACAUCGUUAUUAAAAGAAGGAGAAGGUGAUGGCCGCAAUUUAGAAGAGUUGGAAAGUUUGAUAUGGACUCCGGGGCAUGGCCUUACAGAUAGACAAAUAGACCAAUUUCUCGUAAUGUCACGGUCAGUGGGCACUUUCGCGCGGGCUCUAGACUGUUCAUCUUCGGUCAAACAACCGUCAUUACAUAUGAGUGCAGCAGCUGCUUCUAGAGAUGUUACGUUGUUUCAUGCGAUGGACACGUUACACAAGCACAGCUACGACAUUAGCAAAGCUCUUUGUUCUCUUAUACCUGCCACUGGGCCAGUACUCUGUAGAGACGAGAUGGAAGAGUGGUCGGCAUCUGAAGCCAACUUGUUUGAGGAAGCCCUUGAAAAAUAUGGAAAGGACUUCAAUGAUAUCAGACAAGAUUUUCUACCCUGGAAGACCCUAAAGAAUAUAAUAGAGUACUACUACAUGUGGAAAACAACCGACAGAUAUGUACAGCAGAAGAGAGUAAAAGCUGUGGAAGCAGAGUCCAAAUUAAAGCAGGUUUACAUUCCUAACUACAACAAGCCCAAUCCAGCAGCGCUCUCCAAUGGGAAGACACCAUCUAUGGUGAAUGGUGCGGACAUCUCUGUUUCUGGGAAGGCUUGCGAGUCAUGUCAUGCAACAAACAGUAGUCAGUGGUAUGCCUGGGGUCCUUCGCAUCUACAGUGUCGUCUGUGUAAUUCUUGCUGGCAAUACUGGAAGAAGUUUGGUGGCCUCAAACUUCCAUCACGAAUUGGAAAAGAAGAAGAACGACUGCACAGUGGUGGCAGUCGUUCACAGAGGUGUAAUGUGGGUGGGUGUGGCCGGGAGUACAAGACACGCUCGCAGUUAAUACGUCAUGCUGCCCAGGCUCAUGGUGUUGCCCUUCGAGCUGGUUCACCAAGACCCAUCAUGAAAACAAGGGCUGCCAUCAUGGUCCAUACUAGCCUUCCCAUUCGUGUCAUGCGACGACUUUGUGAAGAUUUAAUCCAACCUAGGAAGGCUAGCCGCAAUCCAACGUGGCCCGUAAAUGCUGCUAAUAUCCGACAAGAGAGUCUCCUGCGCAUGGGUGGGAAAUCCUUUGAUGAUUUUGCAUACCUGGUGAAGCGUGGGACGGGGCGGCGACGAGGGAGAGUGUCUCAGGUGUCAAUCCGCUUAGGUCAGAAGAACUCUGCUUGCCCUGCCUGGAUGCUCCCUACGGACAAGUCGCUCCUACCCAAACAACCCCACAUUGCAUUCCCAAAACCUCCCAAGGGACCAGAUGGCAGUUUGAUAUACACACCAGUACCCAACAAGGAGCUUCCUGUGGUAAAUAAUACUUCCCCGAGUCUUCUAAAAAGGAGGGCAUACGAAGAGACCAAUGGCUUGGACGAGGGCGAAUUGGAAGAAGGACUCCCACCGGCAAAGCGACAGAAGGAUAUGGAGGCGCUGGACUCAUUACACCUGAAUCAACUAGGGGUUAUUCCACCGCCGGGGCUGACAGUUACGCCGGUGGGGGUGAAUGGGGGUCCUGGAGUGCCGCCCCCAGGAGUCCCAACACCCCCACUGGCUGGAGUUCCCAACCUGGGAGCCCCAAGCACGCCCGGGAGAGCCAAGAUCGCCACUGUAUCUCGAGUGGGAGGUCGCCCUCGGAUCAUCUCGUGGAUGGAUGCCCCUGAUGAUGUCUAUUUCUAUGCUACUGACACCACCAAGAAAUUACGCAAAAGUUUAACAACAAAUGACCUGAAGCGAGCGGCGCGACGACCUUGGAAAAAGAUUCAGGAGAAGGAGCUCUCGCCUUCUACUCCCACGCCCACGACUACACCAAUUACACACAUCACUAGCGAUUGAUCCGAACAAACCUGCGAGAAAAUAAUGAUCCGCUCCUACCCCCAACCCCCCUGAGCUAAUCGGCCGAGCAAUAGCACAUUCCCUGCCGGAGUGCUCGGGAUCGGCCGUGGACGCUCCAAAGUGGCCGGUUGCUACGUCGCAUUAGAUAGUGACUUGCGUACACAAGCUGAACACUUUAACGAGUGCAGUGUGAUGUACCAGUGUGUGUGGGUCGCUGGUUAAGUGUUGCUGUGGAGGAAGUUAUUCCAGGGAGGACCCUCCAGCUCUCUCGCUCCCCAGUCUGUGUUAGAUUCCAGUACUGUAAAGAGAAACAGUGAGUGGCGUGAUCAGAUCCUGUGGGGGCCUGAUGCCCUAAUAGCCAAUGUUUGCGCAAAUUACAACUGGAUACAAAGUAAACUACAAAGUCAAAAGCCAUUUUUUAGGCCCAUGUCUUGAGUAAAUAAAAGUUUUAAGUAAUGCGAGGAGUUUGGAGUUUGCUACAAUUACCUUUUCCUCCUUCAGUCUUGUGGUACUGCAACAUGGAACUUCUAAUGCUAGAAGAAUCAAAGUUCAAAACCCUCUUAUAUGUGUUAUGAGAGGAAUUUUGUGUGAGUGUAAGCUUAAAGGCUGAUGCAAGAUGAUGGAUCUGUAGACUAGUUGUGUAGGUUGACUGAGAGGUAGAGGAAGGUGUGAAUCCAUGAGGAGUACCUGAGGAAAGAGCAACAUCCAAGAUGAUGCUUCGUUGACAAAAUGAUCUGACUGGGUUAUUGAGGUAAUAGAUGUCGUGGCUGAAGAACACUGUUGAAUCGGUAUCGGUCUUCAAGGAUCUUAGUUGGAAAACACUUAGUGUGAUCAAAUCAGUAAAAUAUUAAAGAAAGUUUAAUUUUUAACCAAAAGAUAAUGCUGUGUGCAGAAAUUGAUUACUGGCCAUGUAGGUCACAGAUUUCCAAGUACCACCACUCAAAGUUCAAAGUGAAAAACAAUAAUAACUUUAUUCAGCACCUACACUAUUUUUUAUUCAGACUUUUUUUUUUUUGUACAUAUGGUUACCGCAUGUUCACGAAAUUUUCAGUGAUUCGUAGUGAUAUUAGUGAUAAUUUGUGUACUUUGUAUUUUGUCCAAUUGAGAACUUUUCUGCACCAGUAUCAAUUUUUGGACUGGGUAUAAAACUUCCAGCAGCGCCGUGUCGUGUUCACUCGACGCCUAUUUCAAGGAGAAGGACCCUCGGCAGUGUACGAGUUUUGUGGCGAGAGUUGGUGCCUACUGCCCGUGGGGACGGCCAGAGCCCGCGUCGAGGGUCACUCUCCCUUAAACAUUCAUCUUUUUCUACUGUAGUCUCUACCAGCACAGAUCAGUUGCCUUUCCUCCCAUUGUCUUUGUUUUAACAGGUAUUUAUUAUGUUACAGUAAUUCAUCAGAUUUCCAAGUUUUUUUUUCUGAAGAAUUUGUAAUUGAAGAGGUUUAUUGGAGUGAGAAGAUUGUAGUGGAAGCUGGUGUUGAAGUAUAGAUGUGUGGCCUUCCCACCAGUGCAUCAAGGUGUGAGAACAUGGUCCAAACAUCACCUAUGAGUGAGAAGAUUGUAGUGGAAGCUGGUGUUGAAGUAUAGAUGUGUGGCCUUCCCACCAGUGCAUCAAGGUGUGAGAACAUGGUCAAAACAUCACCUAUCAUUUAUUCAACAAUUUUUGUUGUUGCAUUCAUUAAUUGAUGUGAUAACUGUACAUUUACAUAUUUCUGUGUCUUGCCGGGUACACGUCAUGCUGCUAUAUUCUCGGCGCGUUUCUGAAAGAGGACGACUUUUAUGUAUGAAUAAAUAAUUAAUUCUAGUCUAUUGAUUGCAUAAUUUAAAUUUAGAAUAAAAAUAUGAAUCUCCAGCAAAUUUAUUGAGUAUAGGUAUUUUUAUAAUAAAUACAAAAUGUGGCUAAGUGUAUAGCAGCAGUUUACCCAAAUGUGUCCUAAAUUGUCCUUGUACGGGCAAGUGAUGCCAAGGGCCUGAUCCUCAAAGCCAGCGGAGGGAUUGUCAUGGAUGGAAAUAAAUGAGACUCAUCACACUUUUGUAUGGAUAUGCUAAUUUUUGUUCUGUACUUAGUUCAUUCAUUCAUUCAGCCCUCUACAAUACAUAGAUAGACUUUGUAA